GUCAUGUCUUAACUUUCAUAGAAGAACUAGUGGCCAAAGUAUCUUCUGGAUGCUCGGCAUUAUACCAGAGAGGAACUGCUAAUACAGCAGAACUAAAGAAGCUUAUAAGCCUCUGUAAUAAAGGUGACAACUUGGCACAAGAAAACUUUGAGACAUGUGAAGCACUUGUCCUUUAUCAACUUCAAAAAUUAUUGCAAAAUACAAUGAAUGGGUGCCUUUUACAAGAUAAAAUGCUUAAUGACAAAAGGGAAAGACUGAAUGAAGAACAAAGCAGAUCUGAAUUGGUAUCUGAUUUUACUAAGAUUUGGGAACGUUUAAGCAAACACAUCUUAUUCUUGCAAAAGUAUCACAUUUUACUCAGACAAGAAGUGAAAGACAUGUUUGGUACCCUAUUGAUUUUGGAGAGUCAUAAACAAGAAACCCCGACUUCUUCAGUGUUGAAAGACUUUGUAGAAGAUUGUGAAGACAGAUCAUUUUCCUGUAACGAUCAAACCUCCUAUAAUUCACAAGCGAAAAAUACCCCAGAAAAGCCAGGUUUGAACAUCAGUGGCUUAAAGGAACAAAAAAGUAAUGGAACCAGUUCUGAGCCCAGUUUUUCAUCUCUGGAGAGGAAAAGCUCUUUGUCAAGAGAUGAAAAUCAAAGAGGAAUAUCUACAAUAAAAUCUAAAGCUUUUUGGGGUGAGUCUGAUGACAGCAAUUCUGAUAUUGAAGCAGCCCUACGCCCUCAGCAACAGUGUUCACAAGAAGAUGGAUUCAGUGAUUUCUAUGACUAACUUGAUACUCAUUUACAAACGAAUGAUAAAAAGCCAGUAGCAAUUUUUCAGGAUGAAAGUGGUUUCAGAAAAGGUCAAUCUGGAUUGGAUAUCCUGGUGGCAUUUUUAUGUACCUUACCAUAGCCACUUCUUCACACCAAAUUAUCCUGUCAGCCUACUUUCAACCAAUAUGUUUAUGAAUGAUUGUAAUAUUAUUCUUGAAAACCAAGCUAAGAGCACCAAAACUGCAACAGUCUAAGAUUUAUACCUGGAUUUGAAACACAUUUGAAAUUUGAAGUACACAGAAGCAAGGGGGAGAGUAAUUUUGGAGCUGGAAAAUUGUAGGCCUUUAAUUUAUAUAUUCCCUCCUAUACCUGUUCCUUGAUCCAAGUUGCUUGGUUGAAAAGUGUGUUCUUAUGCUUGAAUGGCCAUCAGACUAAUGAAUUCAGUUCAAGACAAAGCAACCAUGAUGUUUAUUAAUGCUAUUAUGAAUUUUGCAUUAAAUAAAAAGCAACUGAUUAGACUGGGACCUUGUUUG
rnacentral:lncRNA from 1 species